rnacentral:tRNA from 1 species
UCCCUGGUGGUCUAGUGGUUAAGGAUCCAGCACUGUCACUGCUCUGGCACAGGUUUGAUCCCUGGCCCAGGAA